rnacentral:rRNA from 1 species
GUUGUUCGGAAUUACUGGGCGUAAAGGGCUCGUAGGUGGCCAACUAAGUCAGACGUGAAAUCCCUCGGCUUAACCGGGGAACUGCGUCUGAUACUGGAUGGCUAGAGAUUGGGAGAGGGAUGCGGAAUUCCAGGUGUAGCGGUGAAAUGCGUAGAUAUCUGGAGGAACACCGGUGGCGAAGGCGGCAUUCUGGACCGACAUUGACGCUGAGGAGCGAAAGCCAGGGGAGCAAACGGG